rnacentral:rRNA from 1 species
UGCAGAAUCCCGUGAACCAUCGAGUCUUUGAACGCAAGUUGCGCCCGAAGCCUUCUGGCCGAGGGCACGCCUGCCUGGGUGUCACACAUCGUCGCCCCCCAAAAUUCCGAUAUCUCGCCAGAGACAAUCGGGAAGAGGAUGGGCGGAAAAUGGUCUCCCGUGCGCUCCCGUUCGCGGUUGGCCCAAAAAUGUGUUCCUGGCAAAGCAAAGCCACGACCAGCGGUGGUUGUAAGACCCUCGGUACAAGUCGUGAGCCUUGCAUUGCUCAUAGGGACAUGUUGACCCUGAACGUGAUCGAGUAACAUCGAACACUCACAAAGUGACCCCAGGUCAGGCGGGACUACCCGCUGAAUUUAAGCAUAUCAAUAAGCGGAGGAAAAGAAACUAACAAGGAUUCCCCUAGUAACGGCGAGCGAACCGGGAAAUGCCCAGCUUGAAAAUCGGAUGCCCCAGGCGUUCGA